rnacentral:rRNA from 1 species
CAGCCGUAAACUAUGCUCGCUAGGUGUCAGGCAUGGCGCGACCGUGUCUGGUGCCGCAGGGAAGCCGUGAAGCGAGCCACCUGGGAAGUACGGCCGCAAGGCUGAAACUUAAGGAUUGGCGGGGGAGCACAACAACGGGUGGAGCCUGCGGUUUAAUUGGACUCAACGCCGGACAACUCACCGGGGACGACAGCAAUAUGUAGGCCAGGCUGAAGAUCUUGCCUGAAUCGCUGAGAGGAGGUGCAUGGCGUAGACGUCU